AUAAACUACCGGCCUUUUGGCUAAGAUCAAGUGUAGUAUCUGUUCUUAUCAGUUUAAUAUCUGAUAUGUUCUCCAGCGUGAGGACUAUAUAUUAAGCGGAUUUUAGCACCGGGAGCUGAAAGAGGGCUUGCUCCUUUCACUCCCGCGCGCUCGACCUGGCACUGCAGUGCCGCUUGAACGGUGCACCCUUC
rnacentral:snRNA from 1 species